UACGUAGGGGCAAGCGUUAUCCGGAUUUACUGGGUGUAAAGGGAGCGUAGACGGCAUGGCAAGUCUGAUGUGAAAGCCCGGGGCUCAACCCCGGGACUGCAUUGGAAACUGCCAGGCUGGAGUGUCGGAGAGGUAAGAGGAAUUCCUAGUGUAGCGGUGAAAUGCGUAGAUAUUAGGAGGAACACCAGUGGCGAAGGCGUCUUACUGGACGAUCACUGACGUUGAGGCUCGAAAGCGUGGGGAGCAAACAGGAUUAGAUACCCUAGUAGU
rnacentral:rRNA from 1 species